rnacentral:rRNA from 1 species
UACGUAGGGUGCGAGCGUUAAUCGGAAUUACUGGGCGUAAAGGGUGCGUAGGUGGCGCCGUAAGUCGGGUGUGAAAUUUCGGAGCUUAACUCCGAAACUGCAUUCGAUACUGCGGUGCUUGAGGACUGGAGAGGAGACUGGAAUUCAUGGUGUAGCAGUGAAAUGCGUAGAGAUCAUGAGGAAGACCAGUGGCGAAGGCGGGUCUCUGGACAGUUCCUGACACUGAGGCACGAAGGCCAGGGGAGCAAACGGG